AUGAACGCUAGCGGCAGGCUUAACACAUGCAAGUCGAGGGGCAGCAUACCCGGUGACGGGUGAUGGCGACCGGCGGAAGGGUGAGUAACGCGUGAGCAACAUACCCGUAUCAGUGGGAUAAUACAGGGAAACUUGUUCUAAUAUCACAUAAUAUUAUUCAGAGGCAUCUUUGGAUAAUUAAAGUUCAGGCGGAUACGGAAUGGCUCGCGUGACAUUAGCUAGAUGGUAGGGUAAAGGCCUACCAUGGCUAUGAUGUCUAGGGGUUCUGAGAGGGAGGUCCCCCACACUGGGACUGAGACACGGUCCAGACUCCUACGGGAGGCAGCAGUGAGGAAUAUUGGACAAUGGAUGAAAAUCUGAUCCAGCCAUGCCGCGUGCAGGAAGACGGCCCUAUGGGUUGUAAACUGCUUUUGUACGGGAGCAAUAAGGUCUACGAGUAGAUUGAUGAGAGUACUGUACGAAUAAGCAUCGGCUAACUCCGUG
rnacentral:rRNA from 1 species